AUUGAACGCUGGCGGCAUGCUUUACACAUGCAAGUCGAACGGCAGCGCGGGCUUCGGCCUGGCGGCGAGUGGCGAACGGGUGAGUAAUACAUCGGAACGUGCCCAGUAGUGGGGGAUAGCUCGGCGAAAGCCGGAUUAAUUCCGCAUACGACCUGAGGGUGAAAGCGGGGGAUCUUCGGACCUCGCGCUAUUGGAGCGGCCGAUGGCAGAUUAGCUAGUUGGUGGGGUAAAGGCCUACCAAGGCGACGAUCUGUAGCUGGUCUGAGAGGACGACCAGCCACACUGGGACUGAGACACGGCCCAGACUCCUACGGGAGGCAGCAGUGGGGAAUUUUGGACAAAGGGCGAAAGCCUGAUCCAGCAAUGCCGCGUGUGUGAUGAAGGCCUUCGGGUUGUAAAGCACUUUUGGCGGGAACGAAAAGGACUGUGCCAAUACCACGGUUCGAUGACGGUACCCGCAGAAUAAGCACCGGCUAACUACGUG
rnacentral:rRNA from 1 species